GUUUGUCUUGGAUUCAGCAGGUAUGGGUUUUCCUCAAGUGAGCAUAUCAUUCUAAUGAUUUUUUUAGUUUUUCUUAUCAUGCAAAUAUCCUUAGCUUGUGAAGCCAUCACUCAGUAGAAUUGCUAAUGACCUAAUGUAUGACCUCAUUGUAGUGAAUUAAAUGAGAGAUUAUUGUCUUUCUUUAAGCCAGAUUGUAUCUUUGGGCUGGAUAGGGCCGGGGAAUCUGUACUCCCUUAGGCCCUGUGGUAAGCAAUUGCAUGCCCCAACACAGAAUGCCGUUAGCCAUUAAAUCUUGAAUGCAUGUGGGAUCUGGUGUGAUGUUGUGGACAAGUAGGCAGAACCAUGCGGUUAGAGCUUGUGUGGCAGCAUGGUGGAGAUGUGUUAUAUAUA
rnacentral:misc_RNA from 1 species